UCUCCAUUUGUUCCUCUAGUGCUGGCUCACUCAGCUGGGUGUUGGCAGGCCCAGGGUGGUCAUCUUGUGGGGAGGGAAUGUGAUUCAAAGGCAGUGGCUGGGGUCAUGGUCUAAGAGUCUUCUGUCACUGUCUUCCUCCCCAAGUUAUAUUUGCUUAAUGAUUUUAAGAAUACACUCCAAUAGGGGAUGUUAUUUUACAACAAGAUACAUAUAGUCUUGAUCUGGAAGUAUGUAGUACUGAACUAGUACUAGAGCAUGACGUUUUGCUGAAGGAACUUUCUUAUGAGGAGAGGCACCCCCUCUGUUGGUGAGGUAGGAGCUUUGGAAGAAGCUAGGUGGCUUUCUACCUAGGAUGGUCAGAGCGGCCUGUGUUGUUGUGCUGGGAUGUCUGUCUCUUGUGGGUCCCUGCAGUGCGAUCCCAAAGCACUAGGCAUGGGUACAGGAAUAGGUUGGCUUGCUGAAGGAUGACUGAAGUGGUCUGCUGAAACCCACUGACUAGAUUGGGCUGGACUAUGAAGAUAUUUUUGCCACGUGGGAAGCAGGGAACUGGAGGAAAGGAAAAGAGUUUGCAAGGCUCUUGUGAAACCAUGUAGAAUCCAAACUGAUGGUAUGUCAUUCCACAAAGCACAGCAUGGGAUCUUCUAAGGAG